UACGGAGGGAGCUAGCGUUGUUCGGAAUUACUGGGCGUAAAGCGCGCGUAGGCGGCUUUGUAAGUUAGAGGUGAAAGCCCGGAGCUCAACUCCGGAACUGCCUUUAAGACUGCAUCGCUUGAAUCCGGGAGAGGUGAGUGGAAUUCCGAGUGUAGAGGUGAAAUUCGUAGAUAUUCGGAAGAACACCAGUGGCGAAGGCGGCUCACUGGACCGGCAUUGACGCUGGAGGUGCGAAAGCGUGGGGAGCAAACAGG
rnacentral:rRNA from 1 species